rnacentral:rRNA from 1 species
GACGAACGCUGGCGGCGUGCUUAACACAUGCGAGUCGAACGGAAAGGCCCUGCUUUUGUGGGGUGCUCGAGCGGCGAACGGGUGAGUAACACGUGAGUAACCUGCCCUUGACUUUGGGAUAACUUCAGGAAACUGGGGCUAAUACCGGAUAGGAGCUCCUGCUGCAUGGUGGGGGUUGGAAAGUUUCGGCGGUUGGGGAUGGACUCGCGGCUUAUCAGCUUGUUGGUGGGGUAGUGGCUUACCAAGGCUUUGACGGGUAGCCGGCCUGAGAGGGUGACCGGCCCCAUUGGGCCUGGGAUGCGGCCCAGACUCCUACGGGAGGCAGCAGUGGGGAAUAUUGCACAAUGGGCGGAGGCCUGAUGCAGCAACGCCGCGUGCGGGAUGACGGCCUUCGGGUUGUAAACCGCUUUCGCCUGUGACGAAGCGUGAGUGACGGUAAUGGGUAAAGAAGCACCGGCUAACUACGU